ensembl:lncRNA
GGGACAAGACCAUAGGAAACAGAUGAUUCUUCUGCACAAUCUGACUUUGCUGCAGCCUGGAAUUGAACUGCUGGUUUUUUUCUCCAUUCUGUCACUGAUGGAGUUUUGGUUCCUUGCCGCUGUCGCCUCUGGCUUGCUUAGUUGGGGACACUUCAUUUACAGCGAUAUCAUUGACUUGAUUGCAAAUGAUUGCACAGAUACUAUUUAAACUCAACUGAGCUGCAUGAUGACAUCACUGAAUUCAAUGAUGAACUGCCUUUAACUGUCAUUUUGCAUUAUUGACACACUGUUUUCCUAAUUAAUGUUGUUCAGUUGCUUUGACGCAAUCUUUUUUGUUUAAAGCGCUAUAUAAAUAAAGAUGACUUGACUUGACUACAGGAGGGUGGUAAAGCGGAGGCGGAACAGGGGGAGGGACGGAGGGUCAGGUCCAUGAGGGGAUGGAGAGAUGGGAUUGAACCAGCCGCCCAACAGGGCGAAGCAGACAAGGCAGACGGCCACCAGGGCGGAUCGGGCGGCGACUCGGACGCCCCCAGGACGGAUCAGGCAGAACAGAGACCCCGGGUAGUAACCGGAACCUAAGAGAGGGUGAGAUACAAAAAGACAGGCAGAGUGGACGGCCCUGGAACCCUCCUGGGUGGAGCAGACAGAGUGGAUGGGUAGACUGAACUGGCUAGGACAGCAUGCUUGGGACUGGAGCCUGGAAGAAGCAGAGACAGACAACAUAGACAGAGGAUUCAUGGCCCCAAGGACCGAGACUUGAAUGGAUGAAGAUUCAUAGGCGGCCUCCUUAGCCGUGACAGGACAGGGCGAGAGUUCAUUAACGGCUUCCAUAGCCGUGACUUGGCAAGAUGAGAGUUCAGAAAUGGCCUCCAUAGCCGUGACUGGGCAGGACGAGGAUUCAUGAGCGGCAUCCAUAGCCGUGACUGGGCAGGACGAGAGUUUUAUUUUUAUUUAUUUAUUAAUUUUUUAUAUGUAUUUAUUUAUUCCCACGUGUAUUUAUUUCCAGAUUUAUUUAUUUAUUUAUUUAUUUUUACUUUUCCGUGUGCAACAUGAAAAUGAGGAGGGCGGUCCUUGUGGAUUGCUGGUGAAUCAUUGGUUGAGAGCUCACGCAGAUAAGUCAGAUUAAACGAAUAAUAGAGAUCGGAGUUUGAGAGUGGGAUGUGCCAGAACAACUGGAGAGAUCCAAUGUAUUUUCACAGAUUCCAAUUUAUUAUGUUUAAUUAUUUAAUAGUGACUGAAUUCAGUUACUUAUCCUCACAGUUACUGCUCAUAGUGACUGCUGUUUCAAAGUCAAAUAUAUAU